AGUAUCUGUAUGCCAUGUGACUUUAGCUUAGUUUGUUUUUUCUUUCUUUUUCAUGCUUCCCUUGAUUUGAAGGUAUGGGUAUCUUAAGAAGUGCACAAACCGAAAAAUGACAGAAAGAGUGAGGACCGAGGAUUAGAUAAGGUGCAGCAAAUAAAGGCACUUGUCUGUGUGCAAUUAUUUUGUUGCCUAAUAAUAAUCCUUUAAGCCUAAAAGAAGAUGUCAUUUUCUGUCUCACAAGGACGGCACUGGCUGUUGCUAUUUGAGCCCUUAUUUGGUGUUUUCCCUUUGUGCAAUCAUUCAAAGACAUGCCAUUAUGUGUUCCAUUAUCCAUGGUCAUUAGGGUUUCUCAGGCCUCAAUGUCACUCACACUCACUGCUCAAUUUUCCUACCUUUCUAGGGCUUCUCAUCAGAAAUCAUAUCCGCAUAUUUUAGGAUUUGCUAUUAUAUCUGAUCUCUGGAUCCGGGUAUAUUUUCUCUUCCUUAAUUUGGUUACGUUCUUUCUCUCUCCUCAGAUCCACCUUUCAAUCACAUUUAUUAAUCUUUGCUCAUAAAAAUAGAAACUACUUAAAGUAUAUACAAUAACUAUGGCCGAAAAAGGGUUUCAAAUUUAUGGAGUUGGACCACAUAUUUGUGUACUGAAAAAGUAUUUCCACGCAGAGAAGAUAACAUUUUGAAGGGGCAUAUGGAUCCAGCCAGAAAGCUACUAAUUUACUAUAUGUGGAAGAGCUGCUGUGUAUGCUACUCUGCACUCUAGGCUCUAGGGCUUUCCACAAAGAUCCUUUCUCUUGUUCCUGUUUCUUCUCUCUUUUCUUUGUUUAGAAAAAAUAAAGUAAAAAAAUUGGUCUCCUCUUUUUCUUUUGCGGGUGGAUUUCUGGUUUUGAUUCUGGAUUUAGGGUAUUUUUUGGGUCUGCUGUCUUUUCUGUGCGUUUUCCUGUUUCUGGUUUUUAAGCUUUGCUUGAUUUUCCGAGGAUCCAUGACCAGGAAAACACAGAAUAAUUUGAAGGAAGAUUAGAUUAGGGCGCUGGAAUCUUUCUUCUUGUUUUGUUUCUGUAGCUUCUCCUCUUUGCAACAAAGAAUGCUGAUAAUAGUGGAAAUGAAAUAACUAAAUUUGGAGUA